rnacentral:lncRNA from 1 species
AUAAAUGGGAAAGUUUCCAAAGUCUCUAGAAGAAAACUCACAAAGCUUCCUAAAUGCUUUUACUAUGUUCGUUACGUUAAUGACAGAGCACUUGAUGAAAACCAGAGCCCAAAAGCCGCAGACCUCAACUGUAAAGAGCUUCAGAACACCGUGCUCCUGCGGGCGCUCACUGCUCAGGCGCGGCGCUCUCAGGCAGCGCCCAGAGAUGCUGCCAGCGGGAAGGAGGCACCUCGCACCGCGCCCACGGCCCCCCCAGCCCGUGGCGGCAGGCAGCCCACACCGGAGCCCGCCCGAGGCACGCGGCUGUCCCGAGGAAGCGGCCGCUCAGGGGCCUUCCGGGAGAGCCCCUCGGUUCGGGCCUGCCCUGCCCUGCGCGGCCCAGCUCCUCCGGUCGCCUCUGCCCGGCGGCCCCAUCCCCACCGCCCCCGCAGCGCUUCCCCGCAAGUCCGGGGCCGCCCGCGCUGCGUGAGGCGGAGGCGGCUCGGAGCUGCCUGGGGAUCCCCGCGCGGCCACGGCCGCCCUCAGCCUAACUUGCUGCCCACCCCCUCCCCGCCACCUCCCGACUGGCAGCCGCGGGAGCCAAUGAGAAGAGCCCCCAGCAGACCGCCGGCCAAUCCCGAGCUGCGGGAGGCGGGUCGAGGCGCCCCAGCAUGGUGCGCUGCGCCUCUCGCUGCGCCGCGGGCCCAGCACCCGAGCCCGCAGCGGAACGGAGCGGCGGGGACUGCGGGCCCUGAGGACGGCCGGGCUACGGGGCCGCCAUACAGCCGGUAUCGCCGGGCGGCGCGGCUCAGCCUCACCUGUCGGCUUCCUCCAAGCGGCGGCGGGGGCUCGGAGAGCUCCGGCUGCGCUUCACAUUCAAACCGCGGUGAGAGGGCGCGGCGGCGGCACGGUGACCGCAUCACGCAGGGCGGCGACACCGUCCGGCCCCCAGGCCAAUCAGCGGGCCUCUCUGCCCCGACGCGCCGCGCGCUGAGCCAAUCCGUGCCUCCCGUCUCACGUGGAGGCAGCAGCCAAUGGCCGAGCUCUUCCCACAAGGCCCCGCUGCGCGCCGAGCGCUGCAGUGCCCGUCAGGCGGCGCCUGAGGUGCUGCGCUGGGCGGGAAGGCGGCCAGCAGGGCGGCCAGUGUUGCAGUUAGUUAGCAUUCGGCCCUGA